GACGAACGCUGGCGGCGUGCUUAACACAUGCAAGUCGAACGGAAAGGCCUGCUUUCCCUUGUGGAUUGCGGGUACUCGAGCGGCGAACGGGUGAGUAACACGUGAGUGAUCUGCCCCCAACUUGGGUAUAAGCCUGGGAAACUGGGUCUAAUUCCCGAUAGGACUGCAGGGUGGUGCCUGUGGUGGAAAACGAUUUUCUAGUGGUUGGGGAUGAGCUCGCGGCCUAUCAGCUUGUUGGUGGGGUAAUGGCCUACCAAGGCGGCGACGGGUAGCCGGCCUGAGAGGGUGGACGGCCACAUUGGGACUGAGAUACGGCCCAGACUCCUACGGGAGGCAGGAGUGGGGAAUAUUGCACAAUGGGCGGGAGCCAGAUGCAGCGACGCCGCGUGGGGGAUGACGGCCUUCGGGUGGUAAACUCCUUUCGACCGCGAGGAAGCCACCUGGUUGGAAGGGUGGUGACGGUAGUGGUAGAAGAAGCACCGGCUAACUACGUG
rnacentral:rRNA from 1 species